rnacentral:rRNA from 1 species
UGAGGAAUAUUGGUCAAUGGGCGAGAGCCUGAACCAGCCAAGUCGCGUGAGGGAAGACGGUCCUAUGGAUUGUAAACCUCUUUUGCCGGGGAGCAAAGAGCGGCACGUGUGCCGCGCCGAGAGUACCCGGAGAAAAAGCAUCGGCUAACUCCGUGCCAGCAGCCGCGUAAUACGAUACU